rnacentral:rRNA from 1 species
GAUCCUGGCUCAGAAUCAACGCUGGCGGCGCGCCUAACACAUGCAAGUCGAACGAGAAAGUGGAGCAAUCCAUGAGUAAAGUGGCGUACGGGUGAGUAACACGUGGAUAAUCUGCCCUUUAGUGGGGAAUACCGUUGGGAAACCGACGACAAUACCGCAUAAGCUCGAGAGAGGAAAGCAGCAAUGCGCUGAAGGAGGAGUCCGCGGUCGAUUAGCUAGUUGGUGAGGUAAUGGCUCACCAAGGCUGUGAUCGAUAGCCGGCCUGAGAGGGCACACGGCCACACUGGCACUGAAACACGGGCCAGACUCCUACGGGAGGCAGCAGUGGGGAAUCUUGCACAAUGGGGGAAACCCUGAUGCAGCGACGCCGCGUGAGCGAUGAAGCCCUUCGGGGUGUAAAGCUCUUUCGGCAGGGAAGAUAAUGACGGUACCUGCAGAAGCAGCUGCGGCUAACUACGUGCCAGCAGCCGCGGUAAUACGUAGGCAGCAAGCGUUGUUCGGAGUUACUGGGCGUAAAGGGUGCGUAGGCGGCUCUAUAAGUAUGGUGUGAAAUCUCCCGGCUUAACUGGGAGGGUGCGCUAUAGACUGUGGGGCUAGAGUGUGGGAGAGGAAAGUGGAAUUCCUGGUGUAGCGGUGAAAUGCGUAGAUAUCAGGAGGAACACCGGUGGUGUAAACGGCUUUCUGGACCAU